ensembl:scaRNA small Cajal body-specific RNA 11
CCGUCCUGCCCCUACCAGUGCUGUUCCCCUCACCAGAGCUGUGGUGGGGGAGGACCUGGGGGCGGACGCAGAUCAACCUGCCUCUCAGGUUAGGAGGGCUGCCCCCAAGAGAUGUGCAUGCCCUUAAAGGCACGAGAGAACAUU